rnacentral:misc_RNA from 1 species
UUAACUAUUGUUAUGAUACUCAGACAACAUAAUAAAGGGUUUUUGGGGUCCUCUGGCAGGCUCUGGCCAGCUAGAAGCCGGCCGUCAGAAGACGGGCCUGCCAAAGCAACAGGUAUUGUAAACAAAGGGUGGGAGAUAUACCCAAAGGGCAUGUUCUCUGUAAUGAUCCUUCCGCAGGUUCACCUACGGAAA